rnacentral:rRNA from 1 species
UGGGGAAUAUUGGACAAUGGGCGAAAGCCUGAUCCAGCCAUGCCGCGUGUGUGAAGAAGGUCUUCGGAUUGUAAAGCACUUUAAGUUGGGAGGAAGGGCAGUAAGCGAAUACCUUGCUGUUUUGACGUUACCGACAGAAUAAGCACCGGCUAACUCUGUGCCAGCAGCCGCGGUAAUACAGAGGGUGCAAGCGUUAAUCGGAAUUACUGGGCGUAAAGCGCGCGUAGGUGGUUCGUUAAGUUGAAUGUGAAAGCCCCGGGCUCAACCUGGGAACUGCAUCCAGAACUGGCGGGCUAGAGUAGGGCAGAGGGUGGUGGAAUUUCCUGUGUGGCGGUGAAAUGCGUAGAUAUAGGAAGGAACACCAGUGGCGAAGGCGGCCACCUGGGCUCAUACUGACACUGAGGUGCGAAAGCGUGGGGAGCAAACAGG